rnacentral:rRNA from 1 species
AGCGUCCAGUCGUGCGUUUAGAAAAAUGCCCCAGGGAGUCUUGAUCAUUGGCGAGGUUAAGCGGUUGAUCCGCGUAGCCGAAGGGAAACCGACAAGUCCGCAGCAGUUUACUGUGAGGGACGAAGUGUGCUCGCUUGGAGUCAAUGGUGGAGGACCUGAAGCCCGACGAUCUAUGCCUGGCCAGAUUGAAGCCCGUUGAAAGAUGGGUGGAGGAUCGAACCGUUGCUGAUCUGCAAAUCGCUCGGACGAGCUGGGUAUAGGGGUGAAAGUCCAAUCGAGUUGGGCAAUAGCAGGUUCCGCGUGAAAGUACUCGUAGGUACACGUUAGUGGAGAUUGAUUACGCUGUAGAGCACUGAUUGUGCGUUUAGGGGGAGCGAUUCCUCGGCGUGCUGCCAAACUCCGAAGGUGUAAUCGUUGUAGAUACUAGCAGUGAGUGAUGGUGGGUAAGCUACCAUUACGUAAGGUGAACAAACCAGCCUGAAGUUAAGGUCCCUAAAUAUCAAUUAAGUGUCACAGACAAACCGUGUCCGUGGUCGAAAACAACCAGAAGGUGGGCUUAGAAGCAGCCAUCCUUGAAAGAGUUCGUAACAGAUCACUGGUCUAGCUUGCGGGCCGGGAAAAGGGACGGGGCUCAAAUUGAUUACCGAUACUUCAGACCAUCGAAAGAUGAUGUGGUAACGCGGCGUAGUGUAUGGACGGAAGGUAGGCUGUGAGGUCUACUGGACCGUAUACUAAUGAGAGUCUUGGGAAGAGUAGCAGCACAGUGUGGUGAGAAUCCGCACCGCCUUAUAAACCAGGGUUCCUCGGCACUGUUUAUCAGCCGAGGGUUAGCCGGUCCUAAGGUCAUUCUUAACCGAAAUGAUCGAAAGGGAAAUGCGUUAAUAUUCGUAUGCCUCCCAUACAAUAUAUGGUGACGGCUUGGGCAAAACUUGUGGAUCAUAUGUCAGGUCCACUUGUACCAAAUCUUUGGAGAACUGUCACAGUGAGAAGAAGAUGAAGUCCCAGGUCCCGUGAAAAGCCGUAUGGGAUGACCGUACCGAGAACUGAAACAGGUGUUUUAGGGUGAGUAGCCUAAGGCGUAUCGGAUACAAGUAUCGCGAGGGAACUCGGCAAAAUAGCUCCGUAACUUCGGGAGAAGGAGUGCCAGAUUGGGAACAAUCUGGUCGCAGUGACUAGGGAGCUCCGACUGUUUAAUAAAAACAUAGGGGACUGCCAGAUCGAAAGGUUGUGUAUAGUCCCUGAAUCCUGCUCAGUGCUGGUAUCUUAAAUCGGGUUUCAACCUGACGAAGGACCAGUAAACAGCGGGGGUAACUAUGACCCUCUUAAGGUAGCGUAAUACCUUGUCGCUUAAUUGGCGACUUGCAUGAAUGGUCCAACGAGGGCUCCACUGUCCCCGCGAUACGUCCGGCGAAAUUGACUUUACUGGCGCACAGUCCAGUACAUUCUACCCGCAAGCGAAGACCCCGUAGAGCUUUACUGCAGCCUGUCGUUGCAUAGUCGCUUUCCAUGUACUGUGUAGGUGGGAGAUGUUGAUCUCCAGGACGUCAGUCUUGGAAGUAGUCGAAAAUAGAGACACCACCCUUGGAGAGUAACUAUGCUAACUGUUUAUCAGGACACCGAUUGGUGGGCAGUUUGGGUGGGGCGCCACGCGCUCGAAAACCUAACAAGCGUGCCCAAUGGUCAGCUUAAGUGGUUCAGCACUCCACUGUUAACUGUAAGGGGAAAAGCUGGCUUGACGUGGAUCGGCACAAUAACGAUCGACGAUGCGAAAGCAGGGCCUAACGAACCUACCAGGCUUAUAUUUGAGGCCGGUAGAUAACAGAAAAGUUACCUCGGGGAUAAUUGAGUUGUCACCAGCAAGAGCUCACAUCGACCUGGUGGCUUGCUACUUCGAUGUCGUCUCUUCCUAUCCUGGGUCUGCAGCAGGACCCAAGGGUGGGGUUGUUCGCCCAUUAAAAGGGAUCGUGAGAUGGGUUUAGACCGUCGUGAGACAGGUUUGUUGCUUGGUGGUAGAAUCGCAUAAGGUGUUUGAUGGAAGGGGUCCUUUAGUACGAGAGGAACGAGGGCUCGGGGCCACUAGUUUACCAGUUGUCUGACAAGGCAAUGCUGGGUAGCCACGCCCUGAAGGAUAAGAGCUGAAAGCAUCUAAGCUCGAAGCCACCCCAAAGACGAGACACCUCAGAACACUCGUAAAAGACGAGAUUAAUAGAAUGCGGAUGUAAGUACGAAGCUUCGGCGACGUAUUCAGUCCAGCAUCACUAACGUUCGAGCAUCUUUUUUC